AAGUCACCUGGAUGAAUCUCCAGAGAAUUAUGCUGAGUGAAAAGAGCCAAGCCCAAAGAUGACCUACUGUUCGAUUCCAUUUAUAUAACGUUCGUGAAAUGCUCUGCCUAUGCUGGACUUGAAGCUUUCUGUCUGUCAAAAAAUAAAAGAAGAUGGAAGGAAGGAUGUACAGAAGGAAGAAAAAAAAAAGAAAGAACCUGUGACUAUGAAGCAACACCCAAAGCCACUGUCAGAUGUCAUGGAGAUGAGACCUCACAAGAAGGCCAGAAAACAACAGACUAACUCCGGAUAUGACAAACUCUUUAUAAAUACUUAUAAGUACUGUUGGCUACAAUAGUUCUAAAGCCUUAACAAAUGAUGUUGAAGCAAAAUGAAUAAUGAUUAUUCCUAU
rnacentral:lncRNA from 1 species